GGUGAGGUGUCCGAGUGGCUGAAGGAGCACGCCUGGAAAGUGUGUAUACGGCAACGUAAUCGGGGGGUUCGAAUCCCCCCCUCACCGCCA
rnacentral:tRNA from 1 species